GACACAGUAACACAAUGGCUCAAUGUGUCUGGCUGUUAACCAGAAGGUUGGUAGUUCGAGUCCAUCCAGGGACA